AUUAUUUACUUUCAUAGAAUUGGUCAGAUGCACAGAGAAGCCCAAAAUUUACCUCUACGUCAUUGGAUAAGUAAGGUUUUAUGAUGGGAGGAAAGGGGAACUAUUACUGUUUAAGCAAUCAUUCAUAUCAGAAAAACAGUAUAUAAAGCUACCAUUUGGACUUUUUCUAGUAUGCAAAAUAUAUCAUCAUUGCUGGACUAAAACAAAUAGAAAGUAGAAUUAAAACUGCCUAUCAACCUAAAAUUGAUAUCAAAGGGACAUCAAUAGCAUAUCUGGGAAGAAACAUCAAACUAGAUAUUCCAGUGAUAACACUUUGGUAUCCGGAAGUAAGAAAGACUUAUGGGGUGGGGGCAGGGUCUUCUGUUAAGUGUGAAAAAAGUGCUAAAAUAAGAUUAUUCUUCACUUGUUUUGUAAAAAACCUAGCUUGUGGCAAAUGACAUGCCAAUGCAAAUAGAGACAUUGACAUAGUAACAGGCUAUCUAUAUAGGCUCAAACAUUUAUAGAGACAGUGACUAGCCAUAAAA